GGAUGUGAGGGCGAUCUGGCUCCGAGAUCUGUCACCUCAUUGAUCGCCAGGGUUGAUUCGGCUGAUCUGGCUGGGUAGGUGGGUAUCUCUUUCCUCCAUAACCACUCCAUGUGCAUCCCUCCUGAAUCUGCACGUUCGGUCUGUCAAAGAGGACGGCCUUUCCCGAGUAGAGAGAGACUGGACUUCGGUAGAAGGUAUAGGAGCAGCUGCGCUCUCCUGCUAGAACCUCCAAACAAGCACUCAAAGAUCAAAAUCUUGAGCUAAAUGAAAUUAUAUUUUGACCCAAAAUAAAACUUAUUAAAAAUCAGGGCAAGUAUAGAAUUCAUAACAUCAUAUGCAUAUAUUU
ensembl:misc_RNA 7SK 7SK RNA